AACGAACGCUGGCGGCAGGCCUAACACAUGCAAGUCGAACGGUUGUAGCAAUACAGCCGUGGCGCACGGGUGAGUAACGCGUGGGAAUCUGCCCAGUAGUACGGAAUAACAGUUGGAAACGACUGACAAUACCGUAUACGCCCUUCGGGGGAAAGUUUUUCGCUAUUGGAUGAGCCCGCGUCAGAUUAGCUAGUUGGUGGGGUAAUGGCCUACCAAGGCGACGAUCUGUAGCUGUUCUGAGAGGAAGACCAGCCACACUGGAACUGAGACACGGUCCAGACUCCUACGGGAGGCAGCAGUGGGGAAUAUUGGACAAUGGGCGAAAGCCUGAUCCAGCCAUGCCGCGUGAGUGAUGAAGGCCUUAGGGUUGUAAAGCUCUUUUGGCGGGGAAGAUAAUGACGGUACCCGCAGAGUAAGUUCCGGCUAACUUCGUGCCAGCCGCCGCCGUAA
rnacentral:rRNA from 1 species